UGGUAGUCCACGCCGUAAACGAUGUCGACUUGGAGGUUGUGCCCUUGAGGCGUGGCUUCCGGAGCUAACGCGUUAAGUCGACCGCCUGGGGAGUACGGCCGCAAGGUUAAAACUCAAAUGAAUUGACGGGGGCCCGCACAAGCGGUGGAGCAUGUGGUUUAAUUCGAUGCAACGCGAAGAACCUUACCUACUCUUGACAUCCAGAGAACUUUCCAGAGAUGGAUUGGUGCCUUCGGGAACUCUGAGACAGGUGCUGCAUGGCUGUCGUCAGCUCGUGUUGUGAAAUGUUGGGUUAAGUCCCGCAACGAGCGCAACCCUUAUCCUUUGUUGCCAGCGGUUCGGCCGGGAACUCAAAGGAGACUGCCAGUGAUAAACUGGAGGAAGGUGGGGAUGACGUCAAGUCAUCAUGGCCCUUACGAGUAGGGCUACACACGUGCUACAAUGGCGCAUACAAAGAGAAGCGACCUCGCGAGAGCAAGCGGACCUCAUAAAGUGCGUCGUAGUCCGGAUUGGAGUCUGCAACUCGACUCCAUGAAGUCGGAAUCGCUAGUAAUCGUAGAUCAGAAUGCUACGGUGAAUACGUUCCCGGGCCUUGUACACACCGCCCGUCACACCAUGGGAGUGGGUUGCAAAAGAAGUAGGUAGCUUAACCUUCGGGAGGGCGCUUACCACUUUGUGAUUCAUGACUGGGGUGAAGUCGUA
rnacentral:rRNA from 1 species